AACGAACGCUGGCGGCAUGCCUAACACAUGCAAGUCGAACGAGACCUUCGGGUCUAGUGGCGCACGGGUGCGUAACGCGUGGGAACCUGCCCUUAGGUUCGGAAUAACUCCCCGAAAGGGGUGCUAAUACCGGAUAAUGUCUUCGGACCAAAGAUUUAUCGCCUUUGGAUGGGCCCGCGUUGGAUUAGCUAGUUGGUAGGGUAAAAGCCUACCAAGGCGACGAUCCAUAGCCGGUCUGAGAGGAUGAUCAGCCACACUGGGACUGAGACACGGCCCAGACUCCUACGGGAGGCAGCAGUGGGGAAUAGUGGACAAUGGGCGGAAGCCUGAUCCAGCAAUGCCGCGUGAGUGAUGAAGGCCUUAGGGUUGUAAAGCUCUUUUACCCGGGAUGAUAAUGACAGUACCGGGAGAAUAAGCUCCGGCUAACUCCGUG
rnacentral:rRNA from 1 species